rnacentral:rRNA from 1 species
UACGGAGGGUGCGAGCGUUGUCCGGAAUCAUUGGGCGUAAAGGGCGCGUAGGUGGCGGGACAAGCGUGCGGUGAAAGCCUGGGGCUCAACCCCGGGUCGGCCGUGCGAACUGUUUUGCUUGAGCACUGUAGAGGCAGGCGGAAUUCCGGGUGUAGCGGUGGAAUGCGUAGAGAUCCGGAAGAACACCGGUGGCGAAGGCGGCCUGCUGGGUUCUGGCUGACACUGAGGCGCGACAGCGUGGGGAGCAAACAGG